rnacentral:rRNA from 1 species
GCAGUCGCCGCGGGAAUACGAAGGGUGCAAGCGUUACUCGGAAUUACUGGGCGUAAAGCGUGCGUAGGUGGUUGUUUAAGUCUGCUGUGAAAGCCCUGGGCUCAACCUGGGAAUUGCAGUGGAUACUGGGCGACUAGAGUAAGGUAGAGGAUAGUGGAAUUUCCGGUGUAGCAGUGAAAUGCGUAGAGAUCGGAAGGAACAUCUGUGGCGAAGGCGACUAUCUGGGCCAUUACUGACACUGAGGCACGAAAGCGUGGGGAGCAAACAGGAUUAGAUACCCCGGUAGUCCCUGUCUCUUAUAC